CAGUCGCCGCAGUAAUACGAAGGGGGCUAGCGUUGUUCGGAAUCACUGGGCGUAAAGGGUGCGUAGGCGGGAUCUUAAGUCAGGGGUGAAAUCCCGAGGCUCAACCUCGGAACUGCCUUUGAUACUGGGGUCCUUGAGUCCGGAAGAGGUGAGUGGAACUGCGAGUGUAGAGGUGAAAUUCGUAGAUAUUCGCAAGAACACCGGUGGCGAAGGCGGCUCACUGGUCCGGAACUGACGCUGAGGCACGACAGCGUGGGGAGCAAACAGGAUUAGAUACCCCAGUAGUCCCUGUCUCUUAUAC
rnacentral:rRNA from 1 species